CCCUUAUGGUUAUUCCAGUGCGACAGUUUCUUCUGGCAUAUUCUAUCUGUUAUACAUGUUUCUUUUUUCGAUGAUUGUGGUAUAUGGCUUUGGGGAUUGUGUUUCUUGAUCAAGUUUUUUCAGGAUUUUUCGAAUUUAGGGUCGAUAAAUGUGUUUUGUCAGAUUGAAGAACGCGAGCAUUAUCAGUGCCUUUGUCGGAUUAUCAAACUGAAGAAUACAAAAAUUAUUCUGAAUAUCAUUCUUUAUCUGAUGAUGAUGUCGAGUUUUGGAUCUUUUCGCGUACUUUACAGUUUUGGAUCUUUUCGCGUAUUUUCUUUACACCUAAUUGUCGCCUGUUCUCUGACAUUUCUUUUGCAUAUGGAUGAUAUGAAAAGCAUAAUAAUUCAGAACAGCCGUGGGCUCAGCAUAACCUAAGUCUUCUUUGUGGCUCCUUUCUGUUAUAAUAUAAGCUGUUUGGUAUUGAUCAUCGAAUAUAGGAUUGAACCAUGAUUUGUUUAUCUGCAGUGGUGUGUGGAAUGGUUUUGUAACAUCCUGAUUUAAGAGUUGUUAUCGUUUUCUUGAAUUUUGGGUCUGUACAGGGCAGGCACGGUGUAUGAAUGUGUGGUGUAGGAGAUCAUGUAAGUUUUAGGUUUUGUUAAGACGAUCUGAUCUCGGAACCUGUCAGAUUUGUUGUCUGUGUUUAUUCCUCUGCAGCAUGUCCUGAAUCUCUGAGAUUUAUUUUGGCGGUUGAGAAUGUAGAAUCGAGUUUCCAUCGCUGUUGCUCUCAGUAUCCAAAUUUCUCGAUGGAUGUUCUCUCAUAUCGACUUUCUCUCGACUUGAUUACGACUUGAUCACAUAAGGAUUGAAUUGUGAUUUGUUCCCCGGAAGCUUUAGGUUCUGUUAUUCUCACCUGUUAUUCUCACUUUUUUGUAUUUAUCUUUGACUAGCUAUUUGAUGAUUCCUUUUCAGCACGAUGUCGGUUGAGAAUUAAAAACCAUAAAUGUGAAUAUAGUUCUUGUUUGAUUUUUGAAAUCUGUCAAAUCUAGGUGUGUGAUCUGCGAUUGUGAUGAUUCCUUCUCAGCACAUUAACACAAUGUUUGGGGAUUCGUUUGGCCUAAGCAUAUAUUAGGAGCGAAGAUGUCUUUGCAUUUUGGUUGUUUUUCUGCAGCAAUUUUUGGGGGAUUUGUUUGGCGUAACAUUAGUCUCAUUGAGCAUAUAUUAGGAGCGAAAAAUGUCUCUGCUUUUUGGUUGGAUUCAUUGCUGACCUUGCAAUGUGGCUGUGAGUUCUUGUGGAUUUUUGUAACAUGCACUAUCAGACUAUUGGAGGCACCGCAAAUUGGGGAGGAUUUGUCUGACAACUAGAUGAUUAAAUGGAAACUUCUCUUAAAAAUUUUCUUUCUGCUUUUUGGUCAUGUUAUUGUUUUUUUCCCCUCAUUUCUUAAUGAUUUGAAUUUCUAAUUUCAUAUAUGAAGUACUGGAUUCAUUGUGAAAAAAAGGAUGAAAGGAUAAGAUAUGAUGGCCAUUUCAUAUAUGCUGUUUGACUGUUAUUGAACUUACUGCAAAACUUUAUGUUCUAUUGCGUUUUCAUUUAGUAGCUCUCUUAUGUGUUUGGAGUUGAAAUGACUAUUGUUUCUCUUACUGAUUGUAGGAAGGUACAUGGUCAGCCAUUGUGUUAAUCGAAGGAGGAGUCAUUCUUCAUAGUUGAAAUUAUGAUCAGCCUCUUACGGAAAUUUGUCUAUUGUUUUUUUAGAAAUUUUAUUUUUGUAUCCAUCUUAUUGUCUAGGUCCUUCACCUUUUACCCAGAUUAAUUAUAGUUUUCUUAAAUUCAUGGGUUGUAUAGGGAAAUUACAAAAUGAAGUGGAGGCAUAGUGUGCAAAUGAUGGGUGGUGGUCAUGUUUUGGGAACAGUGAAUGGAGAUCCCGUGAAACUUAAGGUCAGGCAAAACUUGUGGAGUGGGGAGAUCUUGUAGAUACUCGCUAUAUGAGGAAACUAAGAAAUGAAGUGGGUGCGGAGUGUGCAAAUGGUGAGUGGUGAGCAGGUUUUGGAAACAGAGGAAGCGGCAAUGAAACUUUAGGUACAUGUGUCAAACAUGGCGUUUGUCCAAGCAGGGAAACUACGAAAUGAAGUGGGUGCAAGGUAUCCAAAUAGAGGGUGAUUGGCAGGUUUUGAAAACUAAGAAAUGAAGUGGGUGCAAGAUAUGCAAAUAUAGGGUGGUUGGCUGGUUUUAGAAACUAAGAAAUGAAGUGGGUGCAUGGUGUUCAAAAAGUGGGUGGUUGGUAGGUCUAGGAAACAUUGGAUGGAGAUGAUGGAGAUAUCCGUUGAAACUUUAGGUCUCAUUAUCUUUGCAUUCAUUUAUUUUCUUUAUCGUUGUUCUUCAUGCUAAACUUGUGGAGUGGUUAUAUCUUAUAAAUAGGCACUAUAUAAGUGAGAGGCUUUGACAUGGGAGUUGUUCGAUUGUUGACUCUCUUUAUGUUGGUUGUCCUCUAUUAGUCGUGUUGCAACAAUGAGGAUGUCUGUUGGAUCAUGGAGGCAUAGCUAUAAAUUAUUGAACUUACUUCAAAGCUUUAUAUUUUAUUACGUCUCCAUUUAUUUUCAUUCUUGUGUGCUCGAGUUUGAAUGGCUGUAGUCAGUCAAGUUAGCCAUGUUGUUUGUUUAAGCAAGAGUAAUACUUGAUCAUUAAACAUUAUGAUUGUCGAGCUAAUUGUGGAAAUUUCUCCUUUGGUAUCUUUAAUUAUUAACUUUGUUUGUUCAUCUUAUCGUCUAGGUCCUUCAUCUUCUACCGUAGUUUUCUUGAAUUCAUGGGCUUUACAGGAAAAUUAAGAAAUGAAGUGGGUGCAGAGUGUGCAAAUGGUGGGUGGUGGGCUGGUUUCAGAAACAGAUCCGGAAGGUACGUGUGUCAACCAUGGUGUUUGUCUGAGCAAGAGCAAUACUCGAUCUUUUAACAUUGUGACUUUGAACAUUGUGAUCAUAAAGCCUGUUAAGGAAAUUUCUCUAUUGAUUUUUCUAAUUCUUGAAUUUAUUUAUUCAUAUUAUCGUCUAUGUCCUUCCUCUUUUACCCUGAUUGUUUUACGUUUCUUAAAUUUAUGGGCUUUACGUUUCUUAAAUUCAUGGGCUUUAGGCUUUACAGGAAAACUAAGAAAUGAAGUGGGUGCAGAAUGUGCUAAUGGUGGGUGGUGGGAAGGUUUUGAACCGGGAUCGCGUUUGCAUUCACUGUUUUCAUUACCGUUUUUCAUCAUGUUAACCUUCAGGAGUGGUAGAUCUUAUAACUAUAAACUUUGUUGAUUUUAAUUAUCAUUUUCUAUACGUGUUGCUGCGAAGAGGAUGUCUAUUGGGUCAUUGGGUCGUUUUUCAUCAUGUUAACCUUCUGGAGUGGGAGAUCUUGUAACUAUAAACUGUAUGAGUUAAAGGCUUUGACGAUGUCGUUCUAGACUUGACUUGUUGAUUUCAGUGAUCUUUUUUUUUGCACAGCUGCGAAGAGGAUGUCUAUUGGGUCGUGGAGCGAAUAACUAUUGAUUAUUUAACUUAGUACGAAGCUUUAUGUUUUAAUACGAUACCGUAUCCUAUUUUUCUUAAGUGCUCAAGUGGAAUGGUUGCAGUCUCUCUUAUUUGUUCUAGGAAGGUACAUGUGUCAGACGUGGCCUUUGUCUAAGCAAGAACAAUACUCAAUCUUCCUGUUAUGGGAAUUUCUCCACGGGUUUCUUAAUUCUUGAAUUUGUUUAUCCAUCUUACUGUCUAGAUCUUUCACCUUUUACUCGGAUUGAUCUGGUUUUAGAAACAGAGUGGAUGGAGAUCUGGUUUGGAUUCAUUAUUUUUUUGUCGUGUUCUUCAUGCUAAACUUGUGUAGUGAGAUAUGCUAUAAAUACGCACUAUAUGAGUGAGAGGCUUUGACAUGUCUAUGGUUCGACUGUUGGCUAUAUUUAUGUUGUUGAUAUUCUUCUUCUAGUCAUGUUGCAGCAAUGAGGAUGCCUAUUGGAUCGUGGAGGCAAAAGCUGUAAAUUUUUGAACUUGCUACAAAGCUUUAUGUUUGAUUACAUUUCCAUUUAUUAUAAUUCUUGUGAGCUCGAUUUGGAAUGGUUGUUGUUUCUUUUAUUGGUUGUCUCAGGUACAUGUGUCAGUAAUGAUGUUUGUCUAAGCAAGUGCAAUACUUGAUAGCAUGGACAUUAUGAUCAUCAAGUUUGUUAAGGAAAUUUCUCAAUUGGUUUUUCUAAUUCUUGAAUUUGUUUAUUCGUCUUAUCGUCUAUGUUCUUCCUCUUCUACCUUGAUUGAUGUAGUUUGUUAAAUUCGUGGGCUACGUUCAUGGGCUUUACAGGAAAUAAAUGAAGUGGGUGCAGGGUGUGCAAAUGGUGGGUGGUGGACAACUUUUGGAAACAGUGUAUGGGGAUCCGGUGAAAACUUAGGUUUACUUAUUUUUUCAUUCAUUAUGUUCAUUGUAUGAGUGAGAGGCUUUGACAUUUGUCUCGUUGCAACAGGUGAUAUUGAUGAUUUUAAUUAUCCUUUUCUACUAUUGUUGCAGCGAAGAGGAUGUCUAUUGGGUCGUGGAGCCAACAACUCUAGAUUAUUUAACUUACUAGGAAGCUUUAUGUUUUAUUAUGAUUCAAUUUUACUAUUUUUCUUACGUGUUCGAGUUCGAAUGGGUGUAGUCUCUCUUUUUUUUUGUAGGAAGGUACAUGUGUCAGCCGCAAUGUUUGUCUAAGCAAGAGCAAUACAACUGAACAUAGUUUUUUGUUUCUUGUGUUGUCAGUGAUCUCUUGCUUCUCUCUCUAUUGGCCUGAUGAGCUCAUUUCACCAUCUUUUUGUGCUUGGUUUGGUUCUCACAGUGAACUCAAGUGUGGUCGUUUGUGGAAGAAAUUAACUAUCCUAUAAAAUGGUUUGGUGAUUUGGGUGAAGUAAAUGGUGUUCGUGAUCAAUUGAUGUGGUCAGAUUUUGGUGUUGAAGAGAGUUUAGUACGACUUGCAUUCUUAUUCUUGCAUAUUGUUUGCACUCUUCGGUACUCCGAGAUCACAGCUGUGUUUACUUCCUUCAGUUUGGGGUCUCACAAUUUGUGAUAGGAUGUGGGAACCAUAUGCGAUCUUGUUGCAGACUAUUUUACUCAAUCUUAGUCCAUUGCUGAUUUUGUUCAGUCUGAAAACUUUUGCUAAUACAUAUGUGGGCACAGGUUUUGGAAGUUGUGAAUGAAGAUCCAGGCAGAUUUUAGGUUUUAUAUUAUCUUUGCGUUCACUAUUUACUCUGAAGUUAUUCUUGUCUACAUUUGUGGACUGGUGACACACACUAUAUGAGUAUAAGAGGCAUUGGCAUUUGUAUUGUUCGGCCUUUAACUCGUUCUUCAGUGAUGACUAGACUUACUUUGGAUGUCUGUUGGGCGAUGGACGCAAUGGAGGUAGAUUUUUGUUUGGAACAACUAGUCUCUCUUAAUGAUUGAAUAGUGGGAAGGUGUAUUAAAUACUUUUCUUAUGCGCUUGAUUUGGAAUGGGUGUACCCUCUCUUAUUGCUUGUCGGAAGGUACUUGAUCACUGAACAUUAUGAUCAUUGAGUCUGUUAUGGGAAUCUCUCUGGUGGUUUUUUAAUUAUUGAAUUUAUUAUCUCCUAUGAAGCCAAGUGCAAUGAAGUGUGGUGUAGAUGUGCAAAUUGUGCGUCAAAGAGGUGUUUCUGUUAUGCAGUUGAAGUGGGGUUUGUUGUUGAAGAACUGGCCAUCUUCUGUUUUUACUUUUCCUUGAUCUUUGAUGAGCUCACUUCACCAAAUUUUUGUGCUUGGUUUGGUUCUCACGGUGAACUCAAGUGUGGUCGUUUGUGGAAGAAAUUAACUAUCUAUAAAAUGGUUUGGUGAUUUUCUAUUGAUUUGGCUGAAGUAUAUCGUUGUGAUCAAUUGAGAUUUCGGUGUUAAAGAGAGUUUAAUGCGUCUUGCAUUCUGAUUCUUGCGUAAGAUUUGCACUCUUCGGUACUCCAAAAUCACAGCUCUAUUUACUUCCUUCAGUUUGGUGUCUCCAAAUUUGUGAUAGGAUGUGGGAACCAGAUGCUUUCUUGUUGCAGACUAUUUUACUUAAUCUUAGUCCCUUGCUGAUUUUGUUCAAUCUCAAAACUUUUGCUAAUAUAUAUGUGGGUAAAAGUGUUGGAAGCUGUUAAUGAAGAUCCAGGCAAACUUUAGGUUUUAUAUUAUCAUUGCGCUACAUUUGUGGAGUGGUGGCAGGCACUAUAUGAGUAUGAGAGGCAUUGACAUUUGUAUUGUUUGGCCUUUAACUCAUUUUGCAGUGAUGACUAUACUUACUUUGGAUGUCUGUUGGAUGAUUGUCGCAAUGGAGCGAAGAGUUGCUUGCUAUGGAUAUCUGUUGUGGAGGCAAUGGCUGGAGAUUAUUGUUUGGAAUGGCAGUAGUCUCUCAUUGGAAUUGAUGUAUUUCUGGGCAUUCUUGGUUCUGGAGUUUUGGGUUUAAAACAUCACGUGAUGACCGAUUUUAGCUUGUUGUUUAGAGUGACUAAGGCUACCCUGGUUUUAUGGGAUCAUCUUCCGUGAGUUUUGAUUUAGUUGGUUGGUAAGCUAGCAAUAUCGGAUUUCCUUGUUUUCUUAUCAGGAACAAUGUUUCUGGAGUUGGAUAUAAUGAAACAACAUAUGUAAUGUUUUUGCUGUACAAGUUUGAAAUAUGUGAUGUGCUUGUCAGAUAUUUUGUAGGUAUGUAAUGUAUUUUUAACAAUUGUCGUGUAUAAAAUUAUUAUGACUGAUGGAUUGCCUUUAAUAGUUAUUACACCGAAGGUCCUAGUGGAUGAUUCUCAUUAUUGUAAUAAUUCUAUGGCAUUUUUUUUCGUACUUAUUUUCGAAGAUGUAUUUUACAAUUAGUUCUGCAAUGGUUCUUUUCUUAUGGACUCUGCUUUAUUUUUUAUUCAAAUGUUUUUAAAUUAUUUUUUCGUUUGUGAUUUGUAAUAGAUGCUUAGGGUGUCACAGAUAUGUUUUUCAUUUUUACAUUGUCUGGAAUUCUUUUCUAUUUUUUAAUUUGAACCGAAGCACUUUAAUUCUUUUCCUGGAAAACAUCUUUUUUAACUGCUUUCUUUGUUAAACCUGAUAAGUCCUUUCUUGUUUUGGAUUUGAUCAAUCAUUUUGUGUAAUGUCUCUAGUCUGUUAGUGACAAUGUUUUUAAACCAUUGUAUACAUACGCCUUUAUUAAUGUACAUACAUUGUUCUAACUUGGAGUUGUUUAGUACAUUUGUUGUACAAUUUGUGAUUUCUUUUACAUUGAAAAACUUUGAAUUGAAAUUCUUACUUUUGUCUUUGUUAUAUUUUUAUUUUUAUUUUUAUAAUAUUUUGAAAUUCAAAAUUAAUUAUUAAGGUAUCCUUAUCUUCUGCUGCAACAUCUCCUAGGCUCAUUGUGACAACUUUCCUCAGCCUACAGAUUCAUGACAUGCGUCCUGCAUCCUCUCUUUUUCAAAUAUUCUCUAAAAUGUUUAUUCUUCAUUCUUUUGUUUUUUCACAAUCCUCUUUAGAUUUUUGCUCCUUUCAUCUUCUUCUCUGCCAUUCCCUUGCUGUCAUUUCUUUCUUCCAGAUUUUUCAGGGUUUUGCGAAUUAUCUAGUUGAUCGAAGUUCACUUUGUCGGAUUGAAAGCAAGCAUUAUUAGUAGUCGCAAGAAUUAUCAGUAAAUUUAUACCUUUAUUUGAUGAUUACGAGCUUUGGACCUUGUGGUUCUGACAUCUGGUGUCUGUCAUACGGCUUGGUGAUUCUUCAUUGGUUUUGAUUCUUGAAUUUUUGAAUUCUUGUUGUUUCUAUAGUUCCAUCUUCUAGGAAGACAAGCAAUGUGUGGUGUAGCUUCUCUUGUGAAGUAUUUGAUGAUGAUGAUGCAUCAAAUUUUGGUGUUUGUGCUCUUUCUUUGUAAGCAUGUCCUCAAUCCUAAGUUUUCGUUUGUACGACUCCUUUUCUGAUUGUGAAGCACUCUUCAGUACCCCAUCAUCACACCCUAUUUACUUUUGGGGUCUCACUAUUUGUGACAGGAUGGAGGCAGAUGCUAUGUUUUGCUGGCUAUAUUUCUCUGUUGUAGUCCCUUACUGAUUCUGUUCAAUCUGAAAAAUCAGGUUACUUUGCUAAUUGAUAUGUGGGGGACAAGUUUUGGAAGCAGUUGAUGGAUAGCCAGAGAAACUUUUGGUUCUAUUAUCUUUUCUUUCUUUAUUUUAUUCGCAGAGUGGGAGUUCUUGUAAAAAGGCACUAUAUGGGUAUGAGAGGCUUUUGUAAAUUGUGUAGUUGUGCCUUUGACUCAUUUUGCAGUGAAGACUUGCAAUGGAUGUCUAUUGGGUUGUGGAGACAAUAGCGGUAUAUUAUUGUUUGGAAUGGCUGUAGUCUCUCUCAUUGGUUGAAUAAUAGUAGGAAGCGAAACUAAGAAAUGAAGUGUGUGCAAGGAAUGCAAAUAGAGGGUGGUUGGCAGGUUUUAGAAACGGUGGAUGGAGAUUUGUGAAGAAGAUGUCUAUUGGAUCACGGAGCAAUGAGAACAAGCUGCUUAGCUUCGGAGAUUUCUUUUGCAAGUCGAGUAUUGAAAAUCUUUGGAGUUUAGAGCACUUGAGUUUGCCCUUUAUAGAAUCCUCUGCACAGUGAAGACUAGACUUUCUAUGGUCGUGGAGGCAAUGGUCGUAGAUUUUUGUUGGAAUGGCUGUAGUCUCUCUCCUUGGUUGAAUAGUGUGAAGGUCCUUCAUCAUCUACACAGUUGAUUAUUCUUUGCUUGAAUUCAUGGACUUUACUUGGAAGCCAUGGACUUUACAUGAAAGCCAAGCAAUGAAUUGUGGUGUAGAUAUGCCAAUGGUGUGUUGAAAUACUGCAAUCUAUGAAACUAAAGUGAGCAUACCUCCCCUAACUCUCUUCAAUCUCGUUUUCAGCAUUCGCCCAGGGAGAGAGUGAAAUCCUAAUAGCUUGUUGUGUUGAUUUAUCCUCGAUUUGUUCAAGUAAUAAACGCAAACAAUCAAUCGUCUAAAGCUCAAAUAGAUCUGGGGCUCUCACUCUAAUUUAAAAUGGCUUUAGGUGGAACAGCUCCCCCAAGAGGAAGUGCAGCUGCUACUGCAAACAUGAGGAGAAGAAGAACAGCCGGUGGUGGGGCAUCUGGAGGAGCAGCUGGAACUAUGCUCCAAUUUUACACUGAUGAUGCCCCUGGACUCAAGAUCUCCCCAAAUGUGGUUCUUGUAAUGAGCAUUGGCUUUAUAGCAUUUGUUGCUAUCCUUCAUGUGAUGGGAUAGCUGUAUUUUGUGCGUAGGGAGGCUUAGAAGAGAAAAGAUUUAGGUCCAUUUUUGGAUAUUUAAUACACAGUCUCUCUUAUGAAACAGUCUCAGAACCUUUCCUUGCUUUUGUAUUUUGGUACAUUCCUUCGUUAUUUUUAAAGGUAAAAACAGUGUAAAUACACUGGUAGUAAGAAGAAAUAUUUUGUUACAUCAUUUUGUUUUCGCACUUGGUGGUGUUUUAGUUUCCCUUAGUCUCUUAACUGAGAUGAAAACUGAAGUAUUAAAAAGUAUGCUGUGAUUGAUUUCUAACCAGGUUAACUUCUAUAGCAGAAUUUCUAGAUUUUAUUUUACAGACCUUUUAUUCAAAUUCAUGAGGCUGAAGGUGUUACUCGUUUACUUGGACUGGUUUCAUGUAUCUCCCACGAACCAACUUGCCUUGCUAUUUUCUAUUUAGUGCUUGUCAGGGAUAACUUGAAAGUUUGGACAUCAAUUGUGUUUUGUUGAAACAAUCUGUUUGAGAAUUAUCAAAUGUGUCUUGGAAUAUUUGUUUAAAUAUACGAAAAAUCUAUGUCAAAUCUAUUGGAUGAUCUGUUUGCCGUUUUAACGGGCUGCCACAAGGAUUGAAAACUAUGAUAGUUUAGAGCAGCCAAUUUCUUCUGAGUUUGCUACAUUAUGAGGGCUCUAUUUAAUUCUAUCUCCAAUGUGAGAAACAACAGUAUUUGGAAUUAUUUAUUGUAAUCUUCCUACACCUUAUUUAGGGCCAUCAGCCACUUCGAGUUUUCUCGGAAUAAUUGUUUUUCCUGCGAAUUUUAGGUUUUUUUAUCUUUGCAUUCAAUAUUUUAUUGUAGUUAUUCUUCUACUGCUGAACUUGCGGAUUUGAGUUCUUGUGUUUUUGUAAUAGACACGGUAGAAGGUUUAGUUGUUGGCUAAACUUGUGGAGUGGGAGUUCUUGUGCGUUUGUAACAGGCACAAUGUGAUAAUAGCCAUCAGCAAUUGUGUUGUUUGAACUUUUGACUCUGUCGAUUUGAUCAUCUUCUUCUACUCUUUUUGCAGUGAAGACAUAAUAUGAAUGUUUGUUGGGUCGUUGAGACUAUGGCGGUAGGUUAUUGGACAUCAUGUGAAGCUUUAGGUCGAGUAUUGAAAAUCUUUGGAGUUUAGAGCACUUGAGUUUGCCCUUUAUAGAAUCCUCUGCACAGUGAUCUCUGUAAAUCCUUCUUUCAAUGAUGAUGUGUUGGGGUUGAUCAUGUUCAAGGCUGGUCUAGAAGACCCAAAAGGAAAACUCUCUACGUGGAAUGAAGAUGAUUAUAGUCCCUGCAACUGGGUUGGUGUCAAAUGUGACCCUAUAAACAAUAGGGUAUCUUCUCUUGUUCUUGAUGGAUUCUCUCUUUCUGGGCACAUUGAUAGAGGUCUUCUGAGACUUGUCCCUUUCUAGGAUUAACUUCACAGGGACCAUAGCUCAUGACCUUCUCAGCAUUGGUGAUUUACAAGUUGUUGAUUUGAGUGAGAACAACCUCUAUGGGGUAAUUCCAGAUGAGAUUUUCCAGCAAUGUUGGUCUCUAAGAGUGAUUUCAUUUGCCAACAACAAUCUCACAGGUAAGAUUCCUGAUUCAUUGAGCUCCUGCUACUCUUCGGCAGUUGUGAACUUUUCCUCUAAUCAGAUACAUGGGGAACUUCCAUCUGGAAUGUGGUUUUUGAGGGGACUUCAAUCAAUUGAUCUUUCAAACAACUUGCUGGAGGGAGAGAUUGCAGAAGGAAUUCAGAAUCUGAUUGAUUUGAGGGAGUUGAGGCUGGGGAAGAACCUCUUCACUGGUAGGAUUCCUGAGCAUAUUAGAGACUGCUUGCUUUUGAAGUUGGUUGAUUUCAGCAGCAAUUCUCUCUCUGGGAGAGUUCCUGAAUCAAUGCAAAAGCUCACCUCAUGCACAUUUCUCAACUUGCAAGGGAAUUCAUUCUCAGGUGGCAUUCCACAUUGGAUUGGAGAAAUGAAAAGUCUAGAUACAUUGGAUCUUUCUGCAAACAGAUGUUCUGGUUGGACUCCAAAGUCAAUAGGAAAUCUUGACUUGCUGAGUAGGUUGAAUCUUUCAAGGAAUCAGAUCACAGGAAACCUGCCAGAGUUGAUGGUAAACUGCAUUAAGCUUUUGACUCUUGACCUCAGCCACAAUCACUUGGCAGGCCAUCUUCCUUCAGGGUGGUCCUCAUAACCACACAAUUGGAGGACUAGCAGUUUGCUUGAAGUAUACCCAGUCUCCAGAGUUUAAAAAUUACCAGAAUCAGGUUGUUGCUAACUGUAGAGCUCUUGCUCAGCGGUAAAGUGAGCAUGGAUAUAAACUGGUUUCUGGUGGUAGUGACAAUCACCUGGUUCUUGUUGAACUAAGGCCUUCUGAUCUUGAUGGUGCUCGGGUGGAGAAAAUUCUUGAUAUGGCUUCAAUAACCCUCAACAAAAAUUCAGUGCCUGGUAAUAAGAGUGCCUUCCCGGAGGCAUUCGCAUUGAGGCACCUGCACUGACAACAAGAGGACUUGGUGAGAAAGAAUUUUAAUGUUCAGUCUCUGGAACGAAGCUCCAAGAGUUUUUAAAGUUUAUAUCACCUUCUGAAAGUUUUUAAUGUUUAUAUCACCUUCAAAAUUUCCUUUAGGAGACAAGGUCUCUCAGAAUUGUGGAGGAAAGUUGAAGCUCUUAAAGCUCUUAAACUCAUACCCGAUACCGGAGUCUAAAUGUACCUGCUUAAUGAUACGUCCAAGAGUAUGGUACUUCUAUUUCACAUAUAUUUGUAAUUCUUAUAAGUUAUAAUACGUCUAAGAGUAUGGUACUUCUAUUUCACUUUUCAACCGCUAAUAAGUGACAUAUUACAGUCGUGAAGGGGCUUCUCCUGCAUCCCAAAUGUUUCUCCAGUACCUCAAAAUUAUUUAAACUAAAUGAAUACCCAGACCCACCUCCUGCACCCCAAAUGAAUAUUUUCUUAUGAUGACAUGGCAUAAUGUGAUUGGUUAUUUUGAUGACA